rnacentral:ncRNA from 1 species
CUGGUUGAUCCGGCAAGUAGUCAUAUGCUUGUCUCAAUGAUUAAGACAUGCAUAUCUAAGUACAUGGCGUAUUAAGGCGAAAUCACAGACGGCUCAUUAAAUCAGUUAUGGUUCCUUGGAUCGUAUCUUGCUAUUUGGUUAGCUGUGGCAAUUAUAGAGUUAAUACAUGCAAAAGAGCUCAAGCUUGGGGAACGAGUGCUUUUAUUAAAUCAGAACCAAUUUGAUCUCGCGUCUGUAUUAUGUUGUGACUCUGAAUAACUUUGGGCUGAUCGCACGGGCUUGGCCGGCAACGCAACAUUCAAGCGGCUGCUGUAUCAGCUGUUGAUGGUAGGUUACGCGCCAACGAUGGUCUCGAUGAGUGAGGGGAAUCAAGAUCCGAUUCAGGAGAGGGAGCCUGAGAAAAUGCUACCACAGCCAAGGAAGGCAGCAGACGUGUAAAUUACUCACUACCAGAACGGGAACAUGAAAAUUGUUUGGAAUCCGUAUUGAUACUGACCCUCCCUGAUCGAUGAGGUUAUGUU